UACGUAGGGUGCGAGCGUUGUCCGGAAUUAUUGGGCGUAAAGGGCUCGUAGGCGGUUUGUCGCGUCGGGAGUGAAAACACUGGGCUUAACUCAGUGCUUGCUUCCGAUACGGGCAGACUAGAGGUAUGCAGGGGAGAACGGAAUUCCUGGUGUAGCGGUGAAAUGCGCAGAUAUCAGGAGGAACACCGGUGGCGAAGGCGGUUCUCUGGGCAUUACCUGACGCUGAGGAGCGAAAGUGUGGGGAGCGAACAGG
rnacentral:rRNA from 2 species